rnacentral:rRNA from 1 species
GACGAACGCUGGCGGCGUGCUUAACACAUGCAAGUCGAACGGAAAGGCCCCUUCGGGGGUACUCGAGUGGCGAACGGGUGAGUAACACGUGAGUAACCUGCCCUUGACUUCGGGAUAACUUCAGGAAACUGGGGCUAAUACCGGAUAGGAAUCCUUGCUGCAUGGUGGGGGUUGGAAAGCUUCGGCGGUUUUGGAUGGACUCGCGGCUUAUCAGCUUGUUGGUGGGGUAGUGGCUUACCAAGGCCUUGACGGGUAGCCGGCCUGAGAGGGCGACCGGCCACAUUGGGACUGAGAUACGGCCCAGACUCCUACGGGAGGCAGCAGUGGGGAAUAUUGCACAAUGGGCGGAAGCCUGAUGCAGCAACGCCGCGGGCGGGAUGACGGCCUUCGGGUUGUAAACCGCUUUCAGCAGGGGCGAAGCUUGUGGUGACGGUACCUGCAGAAGAAGCACCGGCUAACUACGUG